GGCCACCUCACAUUGAAACACUGGUUCCUGUACAAUCACUGAAGUUAAGCCACGUUGAGCCUGAUCAGUAACUAGAUGGGUGACCAUUUGAGAAUACAAGGUGCUGUAAG